rnacentral:lncRNA from 1 species
GGGAAAAUGCCUUGAAGAGAAAAAGGACUGCAAAAGUGGAGAAGCUGAACCGUUGAGAAUACCCAUUUCUAUAAAUGGUGGAAACUUCAAUUCAAAUACAUUAUUAUCACCCUUAAUGAUCAAACAUCAUUAAUUUAUUCCAUGCAUGCUAAUUAGCUCUCCUAACAACGAAGAUUAGGUCCAGGGUUAACUCCGAAUUGGUUACAAUAACUCGUAUAAUAAUUAACACGAGCAGUCACGGCGGCCGGGAUCCCGCCGUCGCAUUCCCCGCCAUGAAUAGCCCUAAUCGUGGCCCCAAAACCCCGCCCCGAUGUAAUAGCUGUGUGCACCCUAUUCAUCCAGAACCACAGCGCGGCCUUGAAUGAGAUGGCGGGGUCACGGGCCACGAUAUCGGGGUUGUUCAAUCCAUCAAAAUUUAGGGCUUGGCCCGCCGGGCCGUAGUUGUAGUUCCACGUCAGCUGUAGCGGGCCUCUGCCGUAGUACCUCUGGCCCGGCGUGCACGGCCACUGUUUGUUGCUAUUGCAAUAGAUCGCCUUGUUUAUCUCUCGUGUGUAGCACAUGUCUGCAUGGGAAAGAAAAUUAUCAGAUCGUCUGAUGGGUCAAGAUUCAUCACAUAUAUUCAUUAAUAAUACUCCCUCCGUCCGCCAAAAGUAUUCCACUUUGGCCUGGCACGGAGUUUAAUAAAAUGUGUGAUGAUGUUGAUGUAGUGGAGAAAGGGCCCUACCACUUUAUGAGAUAUGUGGUUGAGAUUGAAUUUGAGGUGAGUUUUUGUAAAUAAAGAGUGUUUGUAAGGANCCUACGUCGCCUUACCUCUAAAUCUCCGACCUGACUUGAUUUGUUACGAAAAAAAAGGAAAAAUAAUACUCCCUCCGUCCGUCAAAAGUAUUCCACUUUGGCCGGGCACGGAGUUUAAUAAAAUGUGUGAUGAUGUUGAUGUAGUGGAGAAAGGGCCCUACCACUUUAUGAGAUAUGUGGUUGAGAUUGAAUUUGAGGUGAGUUUUUUGUAAAUAAAGAGUGUUUGUAAGGAUAAAAUAUAAAGGUGGAUGGUGGGACCAUGGCUUAAAAAGGAAAGUGGAAUACUUUUUGCGGACGCCAAAUAUAGUAAUUGUGGAAUACUUUUGGCGGACGGAGGGAGUAUUAAUCUUUGGUUUAUGGUUGUGUUCGGAUAUAGACAUUGAAUUAAUUUAUGGAUUUUGACACGUCAUACCGUCUGACAUGAUAUUAUUUCCCUAGUUCAAUAUUGAUUUCAACUCAUAUAAGUUGUGAGACAGAGAAUCUCAUCGAAUUAUCAAUAUUUUGUGUGAAGCAUUGUACAAUAGCGCUUCUAAAGCCUAAUUAAAUAGUAGGAGUAAAAAAUUUGUCUUUCGAAAUCUCAAACUCAAUACAUGUGUGCAAGAUGAUUAAUGCCCAAGGCCUGAAGUGCUGAAUUUGAUUCCACCGUGGCACGAUUUUUAAUUUAUUUAUUUAGUUGUGUAAUUUAUACAAAAAAAAAAAAAAAAAAAGAUAUAGCUCCUAAGUGAGAGUAACAAAGUUAACAAUUAAAAAGAAAUGUGAUUAUAUAUAAAAUUAUAAUCUUUUAAAAAGUAAAAUAAAAAUAAAUAAAUAAGAAAACUUAGUCCAAUCUAAUGUGUGACAUGCCAUGACCUCACGCUCCGAUUCGUCGGUGGACACGAGUUUCGAAAAAAAUUAAUUAUAUAUAAUUAGUAACAAUAUGUCCGAAAAUAGAAUAGGAAGAUAUUUUAUGGAGGAAUCAAAAAAGAAAAGUAGGAAAAUAUUUCGUGGACUUACGCCCGGUCUCGUGCGUGACAUGAGCGAAGAACGCCGCGAUCUCACGCUUCGAGUCGUCGGCGGACCCCACCGUGCCGAAGUUGGGGUACAGCUGAAUCGCUUGUAGGAAGGCGGCGCGUGUGUAGAAUCCCUUCCCGGCGCAGCCCCGCCACGCCUGAUUAGCAAUGCCGUUGAAGAAACUAUCUGUCACCACGCCGCCGACAUUGCUCCGUUGUUUUGGUCCGGAGACGGUAUUUUUCCGGUGGCUAGGAGGAGAGCGAGAAGGGCGUAGAUAGUGAGGGAAUGGUUCAUUUUGGAGAUAGCUAAGAGUAGUGAGAAAAUAUUGUGUUGGUGUUGAGAAAUAAUGUGGGGAUUUAUGGGUAUUUAAAGAGUGAAAUAAAUAUAUACUCCAUUAUUUUAUUUUAUCUUUAGAAGGAUAAUGGGAAGAGGAAGAUAUCUUGAAGCUAGGAAGAUUGGAAGUUUGUUACAAAUGGAUUAAUUAGUAUAUUAUUGACUUUUGGAAUGCCUUAUAGUGUAUGAUACUAUUUGAUUUUAUUGUGGUGGAAAUUUGUGUUGGAUUUUCCAAAGUGGAGUAGGUAAACUUGACUUACUAUUAAGAGUCAACUCAUAAUAUUUACACCAUAACUAGUUACUUGUAAUCUAAUUAUAUGCUAAAGGAUAUUGUUCACUACAAAUUAUACUUAUAAGUUCAAAUGAGAAGGUAUAUAAUGUACUAUACAUUAAAAAUUAUUUUAGUACUGAAAAUGUGAAGAUUUACUGUGAAUUCAUCACUUUGCUGAACGAUCUCAUAAUUCAUGGAUCAUACUGAAUUUAAAUCUUAAAGGUGUUGAAAAUUUAUUUUCUUUUAAUUCAUUACUUUUCAUUUUCACAAUGAAUUCAUAAUAAUUCAUAUAUGAGAUGUUUGAUUUGAGCGAUAAGCAUGACUGAUAAACAAGCCCAACUUAACUAAACAUUUGGUUUGUAUGAUUCGACUCGUAAUAUAAUUUGGCCCGUAAUUUAAUCAUAUAAUAAAAUGAUCAUUUAUCACUUUAAAAUUGAGUUGAUUAUAUAUAACUAUAUCCGACAUUAUAAACAAUGAGACCAAAUAUAUAAAGACUCCAAAAUAAAAAUAAAAAAACCACGAAAGUGUUUAAUAAAAAUGAAAUAAAAGAAGAAUAUGAAAAACCAACAUACUAGUGAGUCACAUGAUUCUCUAGAGUCUUUGGUCAAUUCUAUAUCUCAAUACAUUAAAAAUAAUAAAUAUUAUAGUCCAAACUUAGGGGGUGUAUUAGUUCAAGAUUUAUGUAGAUUUUAAAAAUCCGUGGAUUUUAAAAGUCUAUAGAAUUCUCACGGAUUCUUCAUGAUUUUGAAUGAAUUCUUGGUCGGAUUUUUAAUGAAUUAGCAAGAAUUUGACGUGAUAUUUUCGGACUUGAAAUCCACAAACCCAAUGAGCGCGGGAAUUGAACGAGCGCUAGACCUACUUUCAGCGGCCGCUAGGGGCCCAUGAGCGCUGGAUACCUAGCGAGCGCUGGGUUCCAGCGAGCGCUCAAACCAUAUAUCACAUCAUUGGAUUUGGUUGGUGCCUAAAAUUUUACCGGUGGUGCACAUAUAUUCCCAACUUUCACACAGUUAUAUAUAUUAUCAUAUAGUAUUUCAAACAUGCAUAUGCGCCUCCCAAUAACUGGAUUUAUGAUUAUUAUUUUGACUACACUGGUUCUAUUUCUAUGUAAUCGGCGCUAUUUAAUUCUAGUGGGUAACUAUUAUUUGCAUGCAUUCCCAUUAUUAUAUAUAUAUCUCUAUCCACUAAGCAAUUUAAUUUCCUAAUGGAUAAUAUGGUGAUGGGAGCUUCCCGAAGAAAAUCAUGGCACCACGAGCGCUGAAGAAACUUGACCGCUGGAAUCAUUGGCAACGGCCGCUAGGGUCCAGCGGCCGCUGGCACCCAGCGAGCGCGGGGAUUUUGCAGGAUUUGUGAAUUCUCGUGGUCUGUGUUCGGAUUUGUUCAUACUUAUUUUUUCAACGAAAUCAAUGAAAGUCGUUCCAAUUUUAAAGUCCAUAGAUUAACGAAUACAUCCAGAUUUUCAUAGACUUUUAAAAGUCUUGAACAAAUACACCCAGAUAUUUAUAGACUUUUAAAAGUCUUGAACGAAUACACCUAGAUUUUCAUAGACUUUUAAAAGUUUUGAACGAAUACACCUAGAUUUUCAUAGACUUUUAAAAGUCUUGAACUAAUACACCUAACCUUUAAAAGUCUGCAGAAAUCUAUUAAAGUCUUAAACUAAUACACCCCCCUUGGUUCACGUGAUCAUGGUCCCCAUAUGUAAUACCGACCUAAUUUUCCACAUUCUCUUUUUUCUCUUUUUUUUUUUUUCUUUUUUUCUUCUAGUAACAUUUUUGUAUUCUCAUCCCUUCUUGUUUAUACCACAUAUAACAAAUAUCUCAUUGAUUUAAUCUAUUUCAAUUUUUUUUAAAAGAUAUUUCCUAAAUAUAACCUACCCCAAUUAACAUUAGCUAAGACUUCAAGUUAAAUAUUAAAAAAGAGGGGGAAAAGGCCUUAAAAUACACAAAGUUUGGACGAAUUCUGAUUUUACACACAACUUUUGAAAUUUGAAAAAAAAAAUACAACAAAUUUUAAUUUUUUUUUAUUUUUUCCUAAAUUUAAAAAUACCCUAAAAUUAGAAACAUAUGAGUUGCUACUACAACCCAACACAGCAAGCUCAUAACCCGUACAUAUAAUGUAUUUAAUGAGCUUCGCAAUUCAACAUGAAAAUAAAGCUUUCUCUCGCAAUCAAACGUUAACUCACAAGAAAAUGAAAAUAAAUUGUAGCAGUUUAAAAUUUAAUGUAUUUCAUUUCAAAUUUCAAAGGUUGUGAGCAUAUUAAAAUUUUAUUUUUAUUUUUUCAUGGAUUAAUGUUUGAUUGCGAGAGAAAACUUUAAUCAAUAUUUUGAAUAUAAAUUUAAAUAUAAAUAUAAAUUUAUAUUCGGUAAACAAAAUUCGGGAUUCGAUGCGAUACUAAACAAAUCAAACUUGAGCACACCAGUAUUCAAUUCGACUCGGUUCGAUUAUACCCCUAUGUAUUCCCAGAAAAUGAAACCUUUUACCAAAAAGUACAAAGAUGUAAAAUAAUACUGUGAAAAGCGCAUUUUCAACUGUCUGUAAUGCUUUAGACAUCGUAUGUCGUGCAACGAUUUUACGAUGCAAUAUUUUCAAGAAUUCUUGAAAUUCACUGUAUCCAGCUUGGAUCCAUAACAUUUUUCAGACCUUUUUAGUUAUAUACUCCCUCCGUCCAUGAAAGAACUUCCUAUGAGGGAGUGGCACGGGUUUUAAUAAAAUGUUGUAUAGUGUAUUGAGAAUGGAGAAAAAGUUGUAAAGUGUAUUGGGAAUUGUGAAAAAGUAUUAAUAAUUUAUUGUGUUGUUUUAAUUAAUGUUAUUUGAGUGGUGGGAAUUGUCUUAAAAGGGGAGUAUUUUUUAAGUGGUGGGGUAUUGUCCCAAAAUAGGAAAAAGUAGGAAGUUCUUUCGUGGAUGUCCCGAAAUAGAAAAAUAGGAAGUUCUUUCGUGGACGGAGGGAGUAUACAUUUUUAACAGACAAUCUUUGUAUCAAGUAAAUAUGUUCAAACUGUUGGAAAUCUGCUAUGCUAUGCUGGAGAAAUCGUUCAGCAGAAUAGACGCCUACAAAGUGCUCGACAGAACGACUGAAAGAGUUAAAAGAAAGGGCUGCAGAAAUCUUCACACCAACUGUUUGGGAAAAUGCCUUCAAUAGAAAAAGGACUGCAAAAGUGGAGAAGCUGAACCGUUGAGAAUACCCAUUUCUAAUGCUGCAAACUUCAAUUCAAAUACACUAAUGAUCAAACAUCAUUAAUUUAUUCCAUGCAUGUUAAUUAGCUCUCCUAACAACGAAGAUUAGGUCCGGGAUUAACUCCGAAUUGGUUACAAUAACUCGUAUAAUAAUUAACACGAGCAGUCACGGCGGCCGGGAUCCCUCCGUCGCAUUCCCCGCCAUGAAUAGCCCUAAUCGUGGCCCCAAAACCCCGCCCCGAUGUAAUAGCUGUGUGCACCCUAUUCAUCCAGAACCACAGCGCGGCCUUGAAUGAGAUGGCGGGGUCCCGGGCCACGAUAUCGGGGUUGUUCAAUCCAUCAAAAUUUAGGGCUUGGCCCGCCGGGCCGUAGUUGUAGUUCCACGUCAGCUGUAGCGGGCCUCUGCCGUAGUACCUCUGGCCCGGCGUGCACGGCCACUGUUUGUUGCUAUUGCAAUAGAUCGCCUUGUUUAUCUCUCGUGUGUAGCACAUGUCUGCAUGGGAAAGAAAAUUAUCAGAUCGUCUGAUGGGUCAAGAUUCGUCACAUAUAUUCAUUAAUAAUAUUAAUCUUUGGUUUAUGGUUGUGUUCGGAUAUAGACAUUGAAUUAAUUUAUGGAUUCUGACUCGUCAUACCGUCUGACAUGAUAUUAUUUCCCUAGUUCAAUAUUGAUUUCAACUCAUAUAAGUUGUGAGACAGAGAAUCUCAUCGAAUUAUCAAUAUUUUGUGUGAAGCAUUGUACAAUAGCGCUUCUAAAACCUAAUAAAAAAUUUGUCUUUCGAAAUCUCAAACUCAAUACAUGUGUGCAAGAUGAUUAAUGCCCAAGGUCUGAAGUGCUGAAUUUGAUUCCACCGUGGCACGAUUUUUAAUUUAUUUAUUUAGUUGUGUAAUUUAUCAAAAAAAAAUUGUUUUGAAAAAAAAAUAGAAAAAGAUAGCUCCUAAGUGAGAGUAACAAAGUUAACAAUUAAAAAGAAAUGUGAUUAUAUAUAAAAUUAUAAUCUUUUAAAAAGUAAAAUAAAAAUAAAUAAAUAAGAAAACUUAGUCCAAUCUAAUGUGUGACAUGCGCGAAGAACGCCAUCACCUCACGCUCUGAUUCGUCGGUGGACACGAGUUUCGAGAAAAUUUAAUUAUAUCUUUGGUGAAUGCAAAAAGGGUUUAUAAUUUAGAAAAAAAUAGUGAGUGAAUUUAUGUGAGUCCAUUAGUGAUAAUGCGUGUAAAUAUAUGGUAAUUUUAAUUGUAAUAAUUAGUAACAAUAUGUUCGAAAAUAGAGUAGGAAGAUAUUUUAUGGAGGAAUCAAAAAAGAAAAUUAGGAAAAUAUUUCGUGGACUUACGCCCGGUCUCGUGCGUGACAUGAGCGAAGAACGCUGCGAUCUCACGCUUCGAGUAGUCGGCGGACCCCACCGUGCCGAAGUUGGGGUACAGCUGAAUCGCUUGUAGGAAGGCGGCGCGUGUGUAGAAUCCCUUCCCGGCGCAGCCCCGCCCCGCCUGAUUAGCAAUGCCGUUGAAGAAACUAUCUGUCACCACGCCGCUGACAUUGCCUCCGUUGUUUUGGCCGGAGACGUAUUUUCCGGUGGCUAGGAGGAGAGCGAGAAGGGCGUAGAUAGUGAGGGAAUGGUUCAUUUUGGAGAUAGCUAAGAGUAGUGAGAAAAUAUUGUGUUGGUGUUGAGAAAUAAUGUGGGGAUUUAUGGGUAUUUAAAGAGUGAAAUAAAUAUAUACUCCAUUAUUUUAUUUUAUCUUUAGAAGGAUAAUGGGAAGAGGAAGAUUGGAAGUUUGUUACAAAUGGAUUAAUUAGUAUAUUAUUGACUUUUGGAAUGCCUUAUAGUAUAUGAUACUAUUUGAUUUUAUUGUGGUGGAAAUUUGUGUUGGAUUUUCCAAAGUGGAGUAGGUAAACUUGACUUACUAUUAAGAGUCAACUCAUAAUAUUUACACCAUAACUAGUUACUUGUAAUCUAAUUAUAUGCUAAAGGAUAUUGUUCACUACAAAUUAUACUUAUAAGUUCAAAUGAGAAGGUAUAUAAUGUACUAUAAAUUAAAAAUUAUUUCAGUACUGAAAAUGUGAAGAUUUACUGUGAAUUCAUCACUUUGCUGAACGAACUCAUAAUUCAUGGUUCAUACUGAAUUUAAAUCUUAAAGGUGUUGAAAAUUUAUUUUCUUUUAAUUCAUUACUUUUCAUUUUCACAAUGAAUUCAUAAUAAUUCAUAUAUGAGAUGUUUGAUUUGAGCGAUAAGCAUGACUGAUAAACAAGCCCAACUUAACUAAACAUUUGGUUUGUAUGAUUCGACUCGUAAUAUAAUUUGGCCCGUAAUUUAAUCAUAUAAUAAAAUGAUCAUUUAUCACUUUAAAAUUGAGUUGAUUAUAUAUAACUAUAUCCGACAUUAUAAACAAUGAGACCAAAUAUAUAAAGACUCCAAAAUAAAAUAAAAAACCACGAAAGUGUUUAAUAAAAAUGAAUAAAAUAAGAAUAUGAAAACCAACAUACUAGUGAGUCACAUGAUUCUCUAGAGUCUUUGGUCAAUUCUAUAUCUCAAUACAUUAAAAAUAAUAAAUAUUAUAGUCCAAACUUAGGGGUGUAUUAGUUCAAGAUUUAUGUAGAUUUUAAAAAUCCGUGGAUUUUAAAAGUCUAUAGAAUUCUCACGGAUUCUUCAUGAUUUUGAAUGAAUUCUUGGUCGGAUUUUUAAUGAAUUAGCAAGAAUUUGACGUGAUAUUUUCGGACUUGAAAUCCACAAACCCAAUGAGCGCGGGAAUUGAACGAGCGCUAGACCUACUUUCAGCGGCCGCUAGGGGCCCAUGAGCGCUGGAUACCUAGCGAGCGCUGGGUUCCAACGAGCGCUCAAACCAUAUAUCACAUCAUUGGAUUUGGUUGGUGCCUAAAAUUUUACCGGUGGUGCACAUAUAUUCCCAACUUUCACACUGUUAUAUAUAUUAUCAUAUAGUAUUUCAAACAUGCAUAUGCGCCUCCCAAUAACUGGAUUUAUGAUUAUUAUUUUGACUACACUGGUUCUAUUUCUAUGUAAUCGGCGCUAUUUAAUUUUAGUGGGUAACUAUUAUUCGCAUGCAUUUCCAUUAUUAUAUAUAUAUCUCUAUCCACUAAGCAAUUUAAUUUCCUAAUGGAUAAUAUGGUGAUGGGAGCUUCCCGAAGAAAAUCAUGGCACCACGAGCGCUGAAGAAACUUGACCUCUGGAAUCAUUGGCAACGGCCGCUGGCUUCUUGGCCGCGGGCGCUGGCACCCAGCGAGAGCGGGGAUUUUGCAGGAUUUGUGAAUUCUCGUGGUCUGUGUUCGGAUUUGUUCAUGCUUGUUUUUUCAACGAAAUUAAUGAAAGUCAUUUCAAUUUUAAAGUCCAUAAAUUAUCGAAUACAUCCAGAUUUUUAUAGACUUUUAAAAGUCUUGAACGACCUAAAUUUUCAUAGACUUUUAAAAGUAUUGAACGAAUACACCUAGAUUUUCAUAGACUUUUAAAAGUCUUGAACUAAUACACCUAACCUUUAAAAGUCUGCAGAAAUCUAUUAAAGUCUUAAACUAAUACACCCCCCUUAAUUGGUUCACGUGAUCAUGGUCCCCAUAUGUAAUACCGACCUAAUUUUCCACAUUCUCUUUCUUCUUCUUUUUUUUUUUUCUUUUUUUCUUCUAGUAACAUUUUUGUAUUCUCAUCCCUUCUUGUUUAUACCACAUAUAACAAAUACUCCCUCCGUCCCACUGUAAGUGAGACCUUUUUUUUGGGCACGAGAAUUAAGAAAGGUGUAUUUUGUGUGUAAGUGAAAAAAGUGAAAAUGUGUUUAAAGGGAAAAACUUUUACCUAAAAAGGAAAGAGUCUCACUUACAAUGGGACGCCCAAAAUAGAAAGAGUCUCAGAUACAGUGGGACGGAGGGAGUAUCUCAUUGAUUUAAUCUAUUUCAAUUUUUUUUAAAAGAUAUUUCCUAAAUAUAACCUACCCCAAUUAACAUUAGCUAAGACUUCAAGUUAAAUAUUAAAAAAGAGGGGGAAAAGGCCUUAAAAUACACAAAGUUUGGACGAAUUCUGAUUUUACACACAACUUUUGAAAUUUGAAAAAAAAAUACAACAAAUUUUAAUUUUUUUUUAUUUUUUCCUAAAUUUAAAAAUACCCUAAAAUUAGAAACAUAAAAGUUGCUACUACAACCCAACACAGCAAGCUCAUAACCCGUACAUAUAAUGUAUUUAAUGAGCAUCGCAAUUCAACAUGAAAAUAAAGCUUUCUCUCGCAAUCAAACAUUAACUCACAAGAAAAUGAAAAUAAAUUGUAGCUGUUUAAAAUUUAAUGUAUUUCAUUUCAAAUUUCAAAGGUUGUGAGCAUAUUAAAAUUUUAUUUUUAUUUUUUCGUGGAUUAAUGUUUGAUUGCGAGAGAAAACUUUAAUCAAUAUUUUGAAUAUAAAUAUAAAUAUAAAUAUAAAUUUAAAUAUAAAUUUAAAUAUAAAUUUAUAUUCGGUAAACAAAAUUCGGGAUUCGAUGCGAUACUAAACAAAUCAAACUUGAGCACACCACUAUUCAAUUCGGCUCGAUCGGUUCGAUUAUACGCCUAUGUAUAAUGUAUUCCCGGAAAAUGAAACCUUUAACAAAAAGUACAAAGAUGUAAAAUAAUACUGUGAAAAGCGCAUUUUCAACUCUCUAUAAUGCUUUAGACAUCGUAUGUCAUGCAACGAUUUUACGAUGCAAUUUUUUCAAGAAUUCUUGAAAUUCACUGUAUCCAGCUUGGAUCCAUAACAUUUUUCAGACCUUUUUAGUUAUAUAUACAUUUUUAACUGACAAUCUUUGUAUCAAGUAAAUAUGUUCAAACUGUUGGAAAUCUGCUAUGCUAUGCUGGAGAAAUCGUUCAGCAAAAUAGACGCCUACAAAGUGCUCGACAGAACGACUGAAAGAGUUAAAAGAAAGGGCUGCAGAAAUCUUCACACCAACUGUUUGGGAAAAUGCCUUGAAUAGAAAAAGGACUGCAAAAGUGGAGAAGCUGAACCAUUGAGAAUACUCAUUUCUAAUACGGCAAACUUCAAUUCAAAUACACUAAUGAUCAAACAUCAUUAAUUUAUUCCAUGCAUGUUAAUUAGCUCUCUUAACAACGAAGAUUAGGUCCAGGAUUAACUCCGAAUUGGUUACAAUAACUCGUAUAAUAAUUAACACGAGCAGUCACGGCGGCCGGCUUCCCUCCAUUGCAUUCUCCGCCGUUAAUAGCCCUAAUCGUGGCCCCAAAACCCCGCCCCGAUGUAAUAGCCGUGUGCACGCUAUUCAUCCAGAACCACAGCGCGGCCUUGAAUGAGAUGGCGGAGUCCCGGGCCACGAUAUCGGGGUUGUUCAAUCCAUCAAAAUUUAGGGCUUGGCCCGCCGGGCCGUAGUUGUAGUUCCACGUCAGCUGUAGCGGGCCUCUGCCGUAGUAGCUCUGGCCCGGC